UCCAGACUCGUGUGUGGCUGCUUGCGCAGCUGCUCCGUGCCAGGCUUGGAGGACCAGGAGAAGGGGUAGUCACUUGCCACAGCUGGAGGCUGGAGCGUGUGGCACCACGGCUCGCCUCGCUGUGGUGGGUGCUGGCGACAGAGACGGCAGCUCGGCUGGACUGUUAAACAUUAUGUAAACUAAAGUACAGAACCCUGGCAAAACUGAAAGGCCCCAAUAUUAUUGGAACUCUUUUAUGAUUCAGCUUUUCAUGGAGUUCUACUUUAUCAUGAAAUCUAGCACACUGGUUCCUUUCAAUUAAUCCCUGAAGGUUAAUAUUUUUGGACCACAGUUGACCUGAGGUAACUGAAACUGCUGAAAACAAAACCAUGGAUAAGGGAGAACUCUUGUAUUAUCACAGAUUAUAUCAAAACUAUGGCUCUAGGCUUGUUAGAAGAGUUUAACAAGUGGAGCUUGAAGCUCUGUUUUUACCCUUUCUCCGGGCUGUUAUUGUCAUACAAAUUACAUCUUUAUACAUGUUGUGCUGAACAACAAGUCGAUUUGUAGGUGUUUCUUUGUGAAGUUAUCCUCUAAAUCAGAUUUGCUGAGAUUUGUUUUGUGGCCUAACAUCUGAUCUACCCUGAAGACACUUCCAUGUGCUGAUGGGGAGAAUGCAUACUCUUCAACUGUUGAGUGGGAUGUUCUGUGAAUAUCUGGUAAAAAAACUGAGGCUUAGAAACAUUGAAAAAAACUUGCUCAACGUUGCAAAACAAGAAAUUUGUGACACUGGAAUUGACAUCUACAAGGGACUGAUGUAACUAAUUGCUGGAUACAUGUCCCUCAAAGACACAGAAACAGAUCUUGUAUUCUAGUGGAUCUCCGGCACCCAGUGAGGGCCUGAAACAGAGUACAUGUCCAACAAAUAAUUAUUGAAGUAAAGAUUGACAUUUCAGGAGCAGAGAUUAAUAUUCAAAAACAAAGAUGAGAAUUUUGGCAGAAAAGUCAAAAUGAGUCCAGGAAAUGUAUUUGUGGGCCAUCCUACAGAAGUUAUAAUGAAUGGAAAAACGUGAAGAACCUUCUAUUCUCCCAAGGAUAUCGUGAGGGAAUCGUCACUGUAUCUGGAAGCCAGAUGCCAAAGAUGUUCAGUUAUUAUCAAUGUAUCUAUGCAUAAAGGAUUGAAAAUGAUUCUUCAUGCCAUAAUUUAUCUAAAUAUUCAUUCCUUUGGAACACUGUUUUCCACCAAUAGUAACAAGACUUGGAA
rnacentral:lncRNA from 1 species